rnacentral:rRNA from 1 species
UACAGAGGGGGCAAGCGUUGUUCGGAAUUACUGGGCGUAAAGGGCGCGUAGGCGGCCUUCUAAGUCGAACGUGAAAUCCCCGGGCUCACCCCGGGACCUGCAUCCCAAACUGCUGAGCUUGAGUACAGGAGAGGGUGGGGGAAUUCCAGGUGUAGCGGUGAAAUGCGUAGAUAUCUGGAGGAACACCGGUGGCGAAGGCGCCCACCUGGCCUGCUACUGACGCUGAAGCUCGAAAGCUAGGGGAGCAAACGGG